rnacentral:rRNA from 1 species
UACGUAGGGGGCGAGCGUUGUCCGGAUUCAUUGGGCGUAAAGCGCGCGUAGGCGGCCCCGCAAGUCGGCCGUGAAAUCUCCGGGCUCAACUCGGAGGGGUCGGGCGAGACUGCGAGGCUCGAGGUGGGCAGAGGGCAGUGGAAUUCCGGGUGUGAGUGGUGGAAUGCGUAGAGAUCCGGAGGAACACCAGUGGCGAAGGCGGCUGCCUGGGCC